rnacentral:rRNA from 1 species
CAGCCGCCACGGGAAUACAGAGGGUGCGAGCGUUAAUCGGAUUUACUGGGCGUAAAGCGUGCGUAGGCGGCUAAUUGAGUCGGAUGUGAAAUCCCCGAGCUUAACUUGGGAAUUGCAUUCGAUACUGGUUAGCUAGAGUGUGGGAGAGGAUGGUAGAAUUCCAGGUGUAGCGGUGAAAUGCGUAGAGAUCUGGAGGAAUACCGAUGGCGAAGGCAGCCAUCUGGCCUAACACUGACGCUGAGGUACGAAAGCAUGGGGAGCAAACAGGAUUAGAUACCCCGGUAGUCCCUGUCUCUUAUAA